rnacentral:rRNA from 1 species
UACGUAGGGUGCAAGCGUUGUCCGGAAUUAUUGGGCGUAAAGGAUGCGUAGAUGGUGUAGUAAGUUAUCGGUGGUAAAUCGAGGCUCAACCUCGUGGAAGUCGGUAAUACUGCUAUACUUGAGGAUAGGAGAGGUUAACGGAACUCCCUGUGGAGCGGUGAAAUGCGUAGAUAUAGGGAGGAACACCAGUGGCGAAGGCGACUACCUGGCCUGUUCUUGACGCUGAGGCGCGAAAGCUAGGGGAGCAAACGGG